rnacentral:rRNA from 1 species
AGACCCGAAACCCGGUGAUCUAGCCAUGGGCAGGUUGAAGGUUGGGUAACACUAACUGGAGGACCGAACCGACUAAUGUUGAAAAAUUAGCGGAUGACCUGUGGCUGGGGGUGAAAGGCCAAUCAAACCGGGAGAUAGCUGGUUCUCCCCGAAAGCUAUUUAGGUAGCGCCUCGUGAAUUCAUCUCCGGGGGUAGAGCACUGUUUCGGCUAGGGGGCCAUCCCGGCUUACCAACCCGAUGCAAACUGCGAAUACCGGAGAAUGUUAUCACGGGAGACACACGGCGGGUGCUAACGUCCGUCGUGAAGAGGGAAACAACCCAGACCGCCAGCUAAGGUCCCAAAGUCAUGGUUAAGUGGGAAACGAUGUGGGAAGGCCCAGACAGCCAGGAUGUUGGCUUAGAAGCAGCCAUCAUUUAAAGAAAGCGUAAUAGCUCACUGGUCGAGUCGGCCUGCGCGGAAGAUGUAACGGGGCUAAACCAUGCACCGAAGCUGCGGCAGCGACACUGUGUGUUGUUGGGUAGGGGAGCGUUCUGUAAGCCUGCGAAGGUGGCCUGUGAGGGUUGCUGGAGGUAUCAGAAGUGCGAAUGCUGACAUAAGUAACGAUAAAGCGGGUGAAAAGCCCGCUCGCCGGAAGACCAAGGGUUCCUGUCCAACGUUAAUCGGGGCAGGGUGAGUCGACCCCUAAGGCGAGGCCGAAAGGCGUAGUCGAUGGGAAACGGGUUAAUAUUCCCGUACUUGGUGUUACUGCGAAGGGGGGACGGAGAAGGCUAUGUUGGCCGGGCGACGGUUGUCCCGGUUUAAGCGUGUAGGUGUGUGUUCCAGGUAAAUCCGGUUCACUUUAACACUGAGGCGUGACGACGAGGCACUACGGUGCUGAAGCAACAAAUGCCCUGCUUCCAGGAAAAGCCUCUAAGCAUCAGGUAACAUCAAAUCGUACCCCAAACCGACACAGGUGGUCAGGUAGAGAAUACCAAGGCGCUUGAGAGAACUCGGGUGAAGGAACUAGGCAAAAUGGUGCCGUAACUUCGGGAGAAGGCACGCUGACACGUAGGUGAAGUGAUUUACUCAUGGAGCUGAAGUCAGUCGAAGAUACCAGCUGGCUGCAACUGUUUAUUAAAAACACAGCACUGUGCAAACACGAAAGUGGACGUAUACGGUGUGACGCCUGCCCGGUGCCGGAAGGUUAAUUGAUGGGGUCAGCGCAAGCGAAGCUCCUGAUCGAAGCCCCGGUAAACGGCGGCCGUAACUAUAACGGUCCUAAGGUAGCGAAAUUCCUUGUCGGGUAAGUUCCGACCUGCACGAAUGGCGUAAUGAUGGCCAGGCUGUCUCCACCCGAGACUCAGUGAAAUUGAACUCGCUGUGAAGAUGCAGUGUACCCGCGGCAAGACGGAAAGACCCCGUGAACCUUUACUAUAGCUUGACACUGAACAUUGAGCCUUGAUGUGUAGGAUAGGUGGGAGGCUUUGAAGUGUGGACGCCAGUCUGCAUGGAGCCGACCUUGAAAUACCACCCUUUAAUGUUUGAUGUUCUAACGUGGACCCGUUACCCGGGUUGCGGACAGUGUCUGGUGGGUAGUUUGACUGGGGCGGUCUCCUCCUAAAGAGUAACGGAGGAGCACGAAGGUUGGCUAAUCCUGGUCGGACAUCAGGAGGUUAGUGCAAUGGCAUAAGCCAGCUUGACUGCGAGCGUGACGGCGCGAGCAGGUGCGAAAGCAGGUCAUAGUGAUCCGGUGGUUCUGAAUGGAAGGGCCAUCGCUCAACGGAUAAAAGGUACUCCGGGGAUAACAGGCUGAUACCGCCCAAGAGUUCAUAUCGACGGCGGUGUUUGGCACCUCGAUGUCGGCUCAUCACAUCCUGGGGCUGAAGUAGGUCCCAAGGGUAUGGCUGUUCGCCAUUUAAAGUGGUACGCGAGCUGGGUUUAGAACGUCGUGAGACAGUUCGGUCCCUAUCUGCCGUGGGCGCUGGAGAACUGAGGGGGGCUGCUCCUAGUACGAGAGGACCGGAGUGGACGCAUCACUGGUGUUCGGGUUGUCAUGCCAAUGGCACUGCCCGGUAGCUAAAUGCGGAAGAGAUAAGUGCUGAAAGCAUCUAAGCACGAAACUUGCCCCGAGAUGAGUUCUCCCUGAGACUUAAAGUCUCCUGAAGGAACGUUGAAGACGACGACGUUGAUAGGCCGGGUGUGUAAGCGCAGCGAUGCGUUGAGCUAACCGGUACUAAUGAACCGUGAGGCUU